ACUCCUUCUAAAGCUAAAUAUCACCACGAGACCGAUAGCGAACAAGUACCGUGAGGGAAAGUUGAAAAGCACUCUGAAUAGAGAGUCAAAAAGUACGUGAAACUGCCUAGGGCUCAAGCCCGUUGAACUCGAUUAUCCGAGCGGAGAUAUUCACCUGCGGUUGGCCGGCGACGGCAGGCCGCAGGGCACUUAUCUCCUGCUUUGCAAGAGGACAUUGCGAUCCAUUACGAAACAGCCAGCCUCGCAAGAGGCAAGGUCGCCCGGCAACUGCCCCCUGGUGUCGGUUGUUUGUCCCGCAGUAGCGGCGCUCAGUUCUGAAGGCCUGCGCCGCGAGCCGGGGCUUACCGCACGUGGUGUGCAGCCGGGCGCGUGAUGGAUUUCCGCGUACACCGUCUCGCAUGGGGCAACCCAUUGCACCUCCAGCUAGGUGACGGACUGUCGAUCGGCAAUGAUAAAAUCGAGGUACCUUCGGGACCCGUCUUGAAACACGGACCAAGAAGUCUAUCUUGCGCGCGAGCCAAUGGUCGUCCAGUGCGAACACCAAAGGCGUAAAAAACAUAACUCGAGUUGUGCGGGAUUACGGGCGAGACUCUCUGCUCGUCCCUCCAUCCCCGGGUGUUGUAAUCGGCAUGCGGUGCCGGGGGCUCGCUCCCGCGUACCGUGCCACAACAUACCGCGAGUGUGCAGGAUGUGACCCGAAAGAUGGUGAACUAUGCCUGAUCAGGUUGAAGUCAGGGGAAACCCUGAUGGAGGACCGAAGCAAUUCUGACGU
rnacentral:rRNA from 1 species